rnacentral:rRNA from 1 species
UACGUAGGCAGCGAGCGUUGUUCGGAGUUACUGGGCGUAAAGGGUGUGUAGGCGGUUGUUUAAGUUUGGUGUGAAAUCUCCCGGCUCAACUGGGAGGGUGCGCCGAAUACUGAAUGACUUCGAGUGCGGGAGAGGAGAGUGGAAUUCCUGGUGUAGCGGUGAAAUGCGUAGAUAUCAGGAGGAACAUCAGUGGCGAAAGCGGCUUCCUGGACCAGUACCGACGUUCAGGCACGAAAGCGUGGGGAGCAAACAGG